UACAUGGGGUGCAAACGUUGCUCGGUAUUAUUGGGCGUAAAGCGCACGUAGGCGGUCCGUUAUGUUGGAUGUGAAAGCCCUAGGCUCAACUUAGGAAGUGCAUCCAAAACUGGCGGGCUAGAGUAUGGAAGAGGGUCGCGGAAUUCCCGGUGUAGAGGUGAAAUUCGUAGAUAUCGGGAGGAACACCGGUGGCGAAGGCGGCGACCUGGGCCAAUACUGACGCUGAGGUGCGAAAGCGUGGGGAGCAAACAGG
rnacentral:rRNA from 1 species